rnacentral:rRNA from 1 species
AUAACGACUCUCGGCAACGGAUAUCUCGGCUCUCGCAUCGAUGAAGAACGCAGCGAAAUGCGAUACCUGGUGUGAAUUGCAGAAUCCCGUGAAUCAUCGAGUCUUUGAACGCAAGUUGCACCCGAGACCAUCAGGUCGAGGGCACGCCUGCCUGGGCGUCACG